UACGGAGGAUCCAAGCGUUAUCCGGAUUUAUUGGGUUUAAAGGGUGCGUAGGCGGAAGAUUAAGUCGGUGGUGAAAUUUUGCAGCUCAACUGUAACAGUGCCAUUGAUACUGGUUUUCUUGAGUAUGGAUGAAGUAGGCGGAAUUUGUGGUGUAGCGGUGAAAUGCAUAGAUAUCACGAGGAACUCCGAUUGCGCAGGCAGCUUACUAAACCAUAACUGACGCUCAGGCACGAAGGCGUGGGGAUCAAACAGGAUUAGAUA
rnacentral:rRNA from 1 species